CACGUAGGGUGCGAGCGUUGUCCGGAAUUAUUGGGCGUAAAGAGCUCGUAGGCGGUCUGUCGCGUCGGUCGUGAAAACCUGCAGCUUAACUGUGGGCUUGCGGUCGAUACGGGCAUCACUGGAGUUCGGCAGGGGAGACUGGAAUUCCUGGUGUAGCGGUGAAAUGCGCAGAGUAUCAGGAGGAACACCGGUGGCGAAGGCGGGGUCUCUGGGCCGAUACUGACGCUGAGGAGCGAAAGCGUGGGGAGCGAACAGG
rnacentral:rRNA from 1 species